UGUUUCUACAAAUGUGAACAGUGCUUCUAA
rnacentral:piRNA from 1 species